GCCUGGGAUGCCCGUGAGAGUGGCCAACACCACCUACAUGGGCAUGAAUGCCCUCCAUGGCACCACCGGCCUUGGCAGGCUGUGCCGGUCUACGAGUAGCUCGUGGAGGUGGUCAAAAUGUACGUCCACAUGCUGACACCUCUCAUGGUACCUUGUUGAUUCUAGCGUUGAUCGAAAUGAGAAACGUUCGGGCAUCACUAGACUUCGACACCUCCCAUCUUGCCCCUCUGGUGGUCGCUUCUUGUUCGAAUCUGGCAUAGAUUGUACAACAGUUGCAUCAAGGAUGAUAAACCAACGUGUGGUGUGCGUGCAAAGGAGCUGGGCGUGCAGGGGCAUGGGAUGUCGGUGACAGUGGCCAACACCCCCUACAUGGGCAUCAACAGCUGCGAGUGUCUUUCCACUAGUAGAGUAAACCUUACAAAGCUUGGAACACAUGCACUAUGGACAUACUGGAAGCACUUCAAUCUUAUAAGCACCAUCCUAGCCUAUGUAGUAAUUCUUGAUCGGCAAAAAAUCAAUGUCAAGUUUUUUAUUCAAUCCUGAUAGUGUAUGAUACUGGAUGGUGAAAAACUUUGCAUUUGUUUGUAUGGGUAUGUCCGUGUGGAUGAACCAAAAAGCUUGGAGUCAUUAUUAAUGUUGAACCGAGAAGCUAGGUUAAUACAUUUUUACUAUGGUUCACUCUUUUUAGUAUGCUUACACCAAGUACGCCCUGACUUUGCGUUGGAGCAUGUUUGGCAUUCUGUCGAUUUUUUUAUGCUGGGGGUCAUCAUCAAUUGAUUAUUCCUAAAGUCACAGAAGUGUUGUUGACAUUGACAUAGUGUCCAGAACACAAUUUUGACCACAAAUUUGUACUGUAUGAUAGUUGGAAUUGAGAUUGGGUUAAAUUGGUCUGUACCGUGUCAUAUGGUCAGGGUAGUACAUUUAGCGCAUAAGCAGAAUUGUCUAAUUUUUCAGCCCUAAUAAGACAGCUUCAAAGAACUGAACUUUUAGCUUAUCAAGUAAAGCUAUUACCUGCCUGGGUGAUUCUUCCUCUUGUUCGAUAGGAUUGGAUAACAAGAUAUCUUGUGCCUAUCUGAAUGUUUGGCAAACCAUCUCUUUGGUUUCCAUGCCUUGAGUACUAAUGAUUUUGGCUUUCGCUAACAUUUCUAGCGUUGCUGCUGGGCAAUACCGUCCGGUUCCAUGGCGCCUUUCGCUCGGGCAUGUCAAACAUGGAUGUCAUCAGAGGGGGCAGCACUUACGGUGUCGUAGUCUUUGCUGGUGACAGUAGCUUUUCCGUUGCCAAGGAUCACGGCAAGUACAUGCGGUGCCGUCGUGAAGAAUCUCGCCUAGGCCUGAUUCUGAGCAAAUAUUGUGCAUUCUUUCCUCAGAUUGUUAGUUGGGGUCAUGUAAUUAAGUUAGAGGUUCCUUUGUAGUCCUGCUGUUGGAGUCCAGUGGUUAUGUAAUUAAGCAAAUGAAGAU